AACGAAGGCUGGCGGCGCGCCUAAUACAUGCAAGUCGAGCGAGAAGACGUAGCAAUACGUUUGUAAAGCGGCGAACGGGUGAGGAAUACAUGGGUAACCUACCCUCGAGUGGGGAAUAACUAGCCGAAAGGUUAGCUAAUACCGCGUACGCUCCUUGGACUUCGGUUCAGGGAGGAAAGCGAUACCGUGGGUAUCGCGCUCUUGGAUGGGCUCAUGUCCUAUCAGCUUGUUGGUGAGGUAACGGCUCACCAAGGCUUCGACGGGUAGCUGGUCUGAGAGGACAAUCAGCCACACUGGCACUGCGACACGGGCCAGACUCCUACGGGAGGCAGCAGUGGGGAAUCUUGCGCAAUGGGCGAAAGCCUGACGCAGCAACGCCGCGUGGGGGAGUGAAUGCCUUCGGGUU
rnacentral:rRNA from 1 species